rnacentral:rRNA from 1 species
AGUCGAGGGGUAGAUUCUUCGGACCUUGAGACCGGCGCACGGGUGCGUAACGCGUAUGCAAUCUGCCUUUCACAGAGGGAUAGCCCAGAGAAAUUUGGAUUAAUACCUCAUAGUAUAAUGGGUUGGCAUCACCCCAUUAUUAAAGUCACAACGGUGAAAGAUGAGCAUGCGUCCCAUUAGCUGGUUGGUAAGGUAACGGCUUACCAAGGCUACGAUGGGUAGGGGUCCUGAGAGGGAGAUCCCCCACACUGGUACUGAGACACGGACCAGACUCCUACGGGAGGCAGCAGUGAGGAAUAUUGGACAAUGGGCGCAAGCCUGAUCCAGCCAUGCCGCGUGCAGGAUGACGGUCCUAUGGAUUGUAAACUGCUUUUGUACGAGAAGAAACACUCCUACGUGUAGGAGCUUGACGGUAUCGUAAGAAUAAGGAUCGGCUAACUCCGUGCCAGCAGCCGCGGUAAUACGGAGGAUCCAAGCGUUAUCCGGAAUCAUUGGGUUUAAAGGGUCCGU